rnacentral:rRNA from 1 species
CCCGCACAAGCGGUGGAGCACGUGGUUUAAUUCGAUGCUAACCGAAGAACCUUACCUGGACUUGACAUCCCUGGAACCUGGUAGAGAUACUGGGGUGCCCUGCUUGCAGGGAACCAGGAGACAGGUGGUGCAUGGUUGUCGUCAGCUCGUGUCGUGAGAUGUUGGGUUAAGUCCCGCAACGAGCGCAACCCCUAUUGUUAGUUGCCAUCAUUCAGUUGGGCACUCUAGCGAGACUGCCGGUAAUAAACCGGAGGAAGGUGGGGAUGACGUCAAAUCAUCAUGCCCCUUAUGACCUGGGCUACACACGUGCUACAAUGGUUGGUACAACGAGUUGCGAGUCGGUGACGGCGAGCUAAUCUCUUAAAGCCAAUCUCAGUUCGGAUUGUAGGCUGCAACUCGCCUACAUGAAGUCGGAAUCGCUAGUAAUCGCGGAUCAGCACGCCGCGGUGAAUACGUUCCCGGGCCUU